GAUGAACGCUGGCGGCGUGCCUAAUACAUGCAAGUCGAGCGAACGGACGAGAAGCUUGCUUUUCUGAUGUUAGCGGCGGACGGGUGAGUAACACGUGGAUAACCUACCUAUAAGACUGGGAUAACUUCGGGAAACCGGAGCUAAUACCGGAUAAUAUUUUGAACCGCAUGGUUCAAAAGUGAAAGACGGUCUUGCUGUCACUUAUAGAUGGAUCCGCGCUGCAUUAGCUAGCUGGUAAGGUAACGGCUUACCAAGGCAACGAUGCAUAGCCGACCUGAGAGGGUGAUCGGCCACACUGGAACUGAGACACGGUCCAGACUCCUGCGGGAGGCAGCAGUAGGGAAUCUUCCGCAAUGGGCGAAAGCCUGACGGAGCAACGCCGCGUGAGUGAUGAAGGUCUUCGGAUCGUAAAACUCUGUUAUUAGGGAAGAACAUAUGUGUAAGUAACUGUGCACAUCUUGACGGUACCUAAUCAGAAAGCCACGGCUAACUACGUG
rnacentral:rRNA from 1 species